rnacentral:rRNA from 1 species
CACUCCUGCGGGAGGCAGCAGUGGGGAAUAUUGGACAAUGGGCGCAAGCCUGAUCCAGCCAUGCCGCGUGAGUGAUGAAGGCCCUAGGGUUGUAAAGCUCUUUCACCGGUGAAGAUAAUGACGGUAACCGGAGAAGAAGCACCGGCUAACUUCGUGCCAGCAGCCGCGGUAAUACGAAGGGGGCUAGCGUUGUUCGGAUUUACUGGGCGUAAAGCGCACGUAGGCGGACUAUUAAGUCAGGGGUGAAAUCCCGGGGCUCAACCCCGGAACUGCCGUUGAUACUGGUAGUCUUGAGUUCGGGAGAGGUGAGUGGAAUUCCGAGUGUAGAGGUGAAAUUCGUAGAUAUUCGGAGGAACACCAGUGGCGAAGGCGGCUCACUGGCUCGAUACUGACGCUGAGGUGCGAAAGCGUGGGGAGCAAACAGGAUUAGAUACCCCUGUAGUCCCA